rnacentral:rRNA from 1 species
UACGUAGGGUGCAAGCGUUGUCCGGAAUUAUUGGGCGUAAAGAGCUCGUAGGCGGUUUGUCGCGUCUGCCGUGAAAGUCCGGGGCUCAACUCCGGAUCUGCGGUGGGUACGGGGCAGACUAGAGUGAUGUAGGGGGAGACUGGAAUUCCUGGUGUAGCGGUGAAAUGCGCAGAUAUCAGGAGGAACACCGAUGGCGAAGGCAGGUCUCUGGGCAUUAACUGACGCUGAGGAGCGAAAGCAUGGGGGAGCGAACAGG